UACGUAGGUCCCGAGCGUUGUCCGGAUUUAUUGGGCGUAAAGCGAGCGCAGGUGGUUUAUUAAGUCUGGUGUAAAAGGCAGUGACUCAACCAUUGUAUGCAUUGGAAACUGGUAGACUUGAGUGCAGGAGAGGAGAGUGGAAUUCCAUGUGUAGCGGUGAAAUGCGUAGAUAUAUGGAGGAACACCGGUGGCGAAAGCGGCUCUCUGGCCUGUAACUGACACUGAGGCUCGAAAGCGUGGGGAGCAAACAGG
rnacentral:rRNA from 1 species